GAAGGUAUAGCUCAAGUGGUAGAGUGCAUGCUUAGCAUGCACAAGGUCCUGGGCUCAAUCCCCGGUACCUCCG
rnacentral:tRNA from 1 species